AUGCAAGUCGAACGGUAACAGGAAGCAGCUUGCUGCUUUGCUGACGAGUGGCGGACGGGUGAGUAAUGUCUGGGAAACUGCCUGAUGGAGGGGGAUAACUACUGGAAACGGUGGCUAAUACCGCAUAACGUCGCAAGACCAAAGAGGGGGACCUUCGGGCCUCUUGCCAUCAGAUGUGCCCAGAUGGGAUUAGCUUGUUGGUGAGGUAACGGCUCACCAAGGCGACGAUCCCUAGCUGGUCUGAGAGGAUGACCAGCCACACUGGAACUGAGACACGGUCCAGACUCCUACGGGAGGCAGCAGUGGGGAAUAUUGCACAAUGGGCGCAAGCCUGAUGCAGCCAUGCCGCGUGUAUGAAGAAGGCCUUCGGGUUGUAAAGUACUUUCAGCGGGGAGGAAGGUGUUGUGGUUAAUAACCGCAGCAAUUGACGUUACCCGCAGAAGAAGCACCGGCUAACUCCGUGCCAGCAGCCGCGGUAAUACGGAGGGUGCAAGCGUUAAUCGGAAUUACUGGGCGUAAAGCGCACGCAGGCGGUCUGUCAAGUCGGAUGUGAAAUCCCCGGGCUCAACCUGGGAACUGCAUUCGAAACUGGCAGGCUUGAGUCUUGUAGAGGGGGGUAGAAUUCCAGGUGUAGCGGUGAAAUGCGUAGAGAUCUGGAGGAAUACCGGUGGCGAAGGCGGCCCCCUGGACAAAGACUGACGCUCAGGUGCGAAAGCGUGGGGAGCAAACAGGAUUAGAUACCCUGGUAGUCCACGCCGUAAACGAUGUCUACUUGGAGGUUGUGCCCUUGAGGCGUGGCUUCCGGAGCUAACGCGUUAAGUAGACCGCCUGGGGAGUACGGCCGCAAGGUUAAAACUCAAAUGAAUUGACGGGGGCCCGCACAAGCGGUGGAGCAUGUGGUUUAAUUCGAUGCAACGCGAAGAACCUUACCUGGUCUUGACAUCCACAGAACUUUCCAGAGAUGGAUUGGUGCCUUCGGGAACUGUGAGACAGGUGCUGCAUGGCUGUCGUCAGCUCGUGUUGUGAAAUGUUGGGUUAAGUCCCGCAACGAGCGCAACCCUUAUCCUUUGUUGCCAGCGGUCCGGCCGGGAACUCAAAGGAGACUGCCAGUGAUAAACUGGAGGAAGGUGGGGAUGACGUCAAGUCAUCAUGGCCCUUACGACCAGGGCUACACACGUGCUACAAUGGCGCAUACAAAGAGAAGCGACCUCGCGAGAGCAAGCGGACCUCAUAAAGUGCGUCGUAGUCCGGAUUGGAGUCUGCAACUCGACUCCAUGAAGUCGGAAUCGCUAGUAAUCGUGGAUCAGAAUGCCACGGUGAAUACGUUCCCGGGCCUUGUACACACCGCCCGUCACACCAUGGGAGUGGGUUGCAAAAGAAGUAGGUAGCUUAACCUUCGGGGGGGCGCUUACCACUUUGUGAUUCAUGACUGGGGUGAAGUCGUAACAAGGUAACCGUAGGGGAACCUGCGGUUGGAUCACCUCCUUACCUUAAAGAAGC
rnacentral:rRNA from 1 species